rnacentral:rRNA from 1 species
AAAAGCUCGUAGUUGAACUUUGGGCCCGGUUGGCCGGUCCGAUUUUUUCGUGUACUGGAUUUCCAACGGGGCCUUUCCUUCUGGCUAACCUUGAGUCCUUGUGGCUCUUGGCGAACCAGGACUUUUACUUUGAAAAAAUUAGAGUGUUCAAAGCAGGCGUAUUGCUCGAAUAUAUUAGCAUGGAAUAAUAGAAUAGGACGUUUGGUUCUAUUUUGUUGGUUUCUAGGACCAUCGUAAUGAUUAAUAGGGACGGUCGGGGGCAUCAGUAUUCAAUUGUCAGAGGUGAAAUUCUUGGAUUUAUUGAAGACUAACUACU